rnacentral:rRNA from 1 species
UACAGAGGCCCCGAGCGUUAGUCGGAAUCACUGGGCUUAAAGGGUGCGUAGGCGGACUUGUAAGUGCUUUGUGAAAGCCCUGGGCUCAACCCAGGAACCGCAGAGCAUACUGCAAGUCUUGAGGAAGCUAGAGGCGGGUAGAACGAUCGGUGGAGCGGUGGAAUGCGUAGAGAUCGAUCGGAAUGCCAAGGGUGAAGACAACCCGCUGGGGCUUUCCUGACGCUGAGGCACGAAAGCGUGGGGAUCAAACAGG